rnacentral:rRNA from 1 species
AUGUCACCUAUCUCAAGGCCACAGAACACUGCUAUCCAAAGGGUGGGAGACCUCAUUGACACAUCAAACUGGUCUUGGAAGCAUGAGGUGGUCAGGGAGACUUUCAUUGCCCCGGACGCUGAGGCCAUUCUUAAUAUUCCCAUCCGGCAAGGGGGAGGUGAUGAUUAUCUUGCAUGGGCAUUCGAAAGAUCAGGCAACUACAUUGUGAAGUCGGCGUACCGUGCUCUUGUGACUCAGAACGAGCGUUUGGCUCCAGACGAAGGGACGGGUACCUCAAAUGAUGAUCAACAUAUGUGGAAAGCCUUGUGGAAAUUGAAUGUCAUCCCAAAAGUGAGAGUUUUUUUGGUGGAGAGUUCUUCGUGGGAUUCUUCCAGAUGA